rnacentral:misc_RNA from 1 species
GAUGAAGAACGUAGCGAAAUGCGAUACGCAAUGUGAAUUGCAGAAUUCAGUGAAUCAUCGAGUCUUUGAACGCACAUUGCGCCCCCUGGUAUUCCGGGGGGCAUGCCUGUCCGAGCGUCAUUGCUGCCCUCAAGCCCGGCUUGUGUGUUGGGUCUCGUCCCCCUUCCCGGGGGGACGGGCCCGAAAGGCAGCGGCGGCACCGCGUCCGGUCCUCGAGCGUAUGGGGCUUUGUCACCCGCUCUGUAGGCCCGGCCGGCGCUUGCCGAUCAACCAAAACUUUUUUCCAGGUUGACCUCGGAUCAGGUAGGGAUACCCGCUGAACUUAAGCAUAUCAAUAAGCGGAGGA